GACGAACGCUGGCGGCGUGCCUAAUACAUGCAAGUCGAGCGGACGAUUCGAAAGCUUGCUUUUGAAUCGUUAGCGGCGGACGGGUGAGUAACACGUGGGCAACCUGCCCUGUAGACGGGGAUAACACCGAGAAAUCGGUGCUAAUACCGGAUAACACGAAAUGUCGCAUGACGUUUCGUUGAGAGGCGGCGCAAGCUGCCGCUACAGGAUGGGCCCGCGGCGCAUUAGCUAGUUGGUGAGGUAACGGCUCACCAAGGCGACGAUGCGUAGCCGACCUGAGAGGGUGAUCGGCCACACUGGGACUGAGACACGGCCCAGACUCCUACGGGAGGCAGCAGUAGGGAAUCUUCCGCAAUGGACGAAAGUCUGACGGAGCAACGCCGCGUGAGCGAAGAAGGCCUUCGGGUCGUAAAGCUCUGUUGUUAGGGAAGAACAAGUAACGUAGUAACUGACGUUACUAUGACGGUACCUAACGAGAAAGCCACGGCUAACUACGUG
rnacentral:rRNA from 1 species